GCCCGGGUGGCGGAACUGGUAGACGCGCACGACUCAAAAUCGUGUUCCUUCGGGAGUGAGAGUUCGAUUCUCUCCUCGGGCACCA
rnacentral:tRNA from 1 species